AUGUUUAAUCUGAUACUUUCCCCGGAGGGCUGUGUGAUACAAACCUCAUAGACAUGGCUGGAUGGAUACCUGCAGCCUAGUGACACAGAACUUAUGGGUAAGAAAGAGAGCAAGCCCAGAGCAGCCUGCCACUCUGACCACUUGGCAAACCAGGCUCUUCGAGACGUGAACAAAGCCCCUCUGUUAGGUGGGAGAGGGCAGGCCCUCAAGUCUGAUCCUGCAGUUGACCAGUCCAAGUUCCACUGUGCUGGAAGAGGCCCAAAUUGGUGGAAGGAGAGGCAGAAGUGCAAGUCACCUUGAGGUUUGGCAAACACCUGCCAUAAAGGCUGUCCUUGUAUGCCGUGACCUUUAGGGAGCCAGUGCCAGAACCAGGCCACUCCCGAUGGCAUCACUGGCACCUUUGUCUUCAUGAGUUGGACAAAUGCCAACAGGGCUUGGGGCAGGAACAUGGCCACAGGAGGACUCGGAACUCUGGCCAGGGCAGGGUGGCAAAACAGUAACACUAAGCCAGCAAGGGACAGGCUUGUCCCCACAGGGAAAGUGGGGGGACUCAAAGGGCCCCUGCCGCGGUGAGAGGCAGCACGUCUGUCUUGGGAAGGGCAGCUGCCACAGCACAGGCUCGGCCAGGCACAGGCUGGUGCUCUUCUUCUGUUCCAGGGAGAAGUUCCCUAGUGCACCUCAGUAGACCCAGGCUGCUGCACAGGAGGGGCUCUGCCACCUCGAACACGGGCAGUGCUGGCCAAGUCACCGCAGGCCUGCCGCAGGAGCCAGGUAACCCAUCUGGCUUGGCUGUGUGGCCACGGUGCCAUGGCCCGUGCCAUCUGCUGCUUCAAGCAAGAGCCCAUGGGUAGUGUCUCCAUCUGAGCCACUGUCACGGGGCAGUCAUCACCUGAAACCCCUCACUAGGGGAGGCUGUUCUUAAUUCCAAGCAACUAACUAGCUCGUGGUGCUGCCCUGCCCUGUAACAAGUGGACUGGGGCAUGCCACCCUUAUGGGGGUACCAAGUGCCCCUGCUGAGGGAGGCUGGCAAUCCUGUCGCUCAGCUGAAAGACACACAGUACCCUAGACUCUGCCAUGGGAACUGCUGUCUGAGCUUCAGGAGCAGCAUGUCCCCUGCAUGGACAGAUAGCCCAGUCUGUGUGCACAUGUCAUGUUGUGCCCCUGCACCCCCAGCCGGGGGAAAUAAACCAGACUACACAGGGCAGAGGAAGACUUCAAACGAGUCCUUACAGGAGCAGCACACACGCUCAUCAGUGUAGAACCUUUAAUAACAGAGCAGAAGUGGCCGCUUAAGGCAAAAGGCAAGCUGCAGAUGUGUGGCCACCCCUGGCUCCCAGGGCUGUGUCCUGGUGUCUUCUGGCUUCAGAGGCAGCACAGGGAGCCAGCCUGUCCCCCACCCUGGGAGCAGGUGCAGUGGCAGGAGCCAGCGAGGACAGAUGCUCUGUGGGGGUAGGGGGCAGGGAUUGGGGGCUAGAAGGGCAUGUAUGCUUGAAACUACUCUAGUCACCUCUGCUCUUCAGCGGCCUUUCAUGGCUGCGAAGCCCAGAAGGGAGCUGACCGCACAGCCAAUUUCUCUUACAGAAAUGUCUCCAGUGGACAGCUUAGGACUGGGAAUGCUCGAGUGAGGACACAGCAAGACCAGGCCAGCAGGGGGCGCCAGCCCAGCAAGAGGGAGGAAGGAUGGCUGUCUCCUUCAUAGCACAUGUACAGGACAGAACAGCUCCUACAGAAGCAGCUGCAGAACUGCAGACAGACACUCGGCAUGGGCUCCAAAUUUCUACAAAGCCAGGACAGUGGCCGAUACCCCGAGAGGCCAGUGUGACUGGGACGGAGCAGGAAAACACAUGGAGCCAUUUCUCAGAUUGCGCAAACUCCACCCAACCCCACACUGACCUCCUGUGACAGGCAAAGUUGUCGAGGUCGGAGUUUCGCAGCACCUUCUCGUAGGGCACGUUGGCAGUGAUGAGGCUGUGGCUAUUGAAGGAGAGAUAGCGCACAGGGUGCCUGCGGUGGGAGGAAGAGAGCUGUAAGGCGGGAGCAGCCUUCCCCAGCUGGGCCUGGCAGAACCCUAGGCACUUUCCAUUAUGGAGAAGGAACUGGGCCCAGCUUCAGCUCCAAAGCAGGCGCAAGCAAGGCCUGCUCUGGCACCAUGUCAUUUAGCAAGCACACGGCUAACCUCCUAUUCUAGCUGCCUGCCUCAACAGUUGGUGUAUUUGGGCUAUAAGAGCAUUCAGCUUGAGACAAACCUACAACAUGGCUCAGAAAGUCGACGAGCCAUGGGCCAGUUCUUAUCCUCAGGGUGAUGGCUACAGUUGACAGCACCUGCAUCUGGUGAGGCCAUACUGUGACCCAGGGUACAACAGAGAGUGUAGGCUCCUAAAGAUGGGUGCUUGCCCUCAGCGGCUCCACAGUAGUGGGAAGCUAGGAGCCCACCUCUGCAAGGAGGAGGACUACCACACCCAGGGGGGCUGGCUGAGACCACUAGGGAGGGUGGGGGAGGCCUGUGGCAAGAACAGGCCCUUUGGCAAAAGCACACGAAGGAGAGGAAGCUGGUGAGGGAAGGCAGGCUCAAGACAGGGGAGCAGACAGCAGCUGCACUAGACGGAGCGUGGAACAGGCACAGGGCGCCUACAGAGAGAAGGCCUUAGUGGGGGUGUGAAGCGCAGGGGCCUCCCCUUGGUGGUGAGAAGGACAGGCACUGUCCUGGACACACAGAGAACCAACUAGAGUACUGGCUUUCCUGAAGUUCAGGCAAAUGCUGGUUCCAGUGUGGGACGUUUGAGCUGCCUUUUGGCACCACCUGGUGGCACCAUGGUGUAUCAGCAGUGAAGUUGGGGAAGGGCAAGGCCUGAGGCAGUGUGGUAGACAGGGGUUCUGAUCUGAUAAGAGCUGCUAGCCAAAGUAUUCACUGCCCUGCCAGCCAAGAAGGAACCCAAAUUUACUUUGGCUUCACAAACCCUCUCAAAGGUGCACAGACCUUCACUUAAAUAAAGGCAGAGCUGUCUU
ensembl:antisense Gm9754 predicted gene 9754